rnacentral:misc_RNA from 1 species
AAUUAAUGCUACUUCACAAUUCAUUAAGCACUUGGCCUUCAAAAACUCUGGUAUAAGGGGAAAAACAACCACAAUUGUUAUUUGGCACUUCAAGUAUGAGCACGAGAUAAAAAAUAAAAAAUAAAAAUGUUCUAUUCAAUUUGGCUUGAAGCAAUAUAUUUAAACACUUCUACACCAGAGAACAAAUUUAAUUUGUCUGCCUUUGAAAGUUUAAUCAGUUUCUCAUAUACAUUCAAUACACACCAUUAGCAAUCAUGGUUGGUUCAAUUGCUACCCCUAGUGUCACUUUGUUAUAGUGUUAAGGGGGGUUAUUAUUACUAGUAAAGGAUUUACACGCGUCAUUCAUUUAACCUUAUAAGUAUAUGCAAACAAGUCAAACACUUAAAAAUGUAACCAAUACUCCUUUGAUCAUUACACUAUCAACAAGAACUCCUGCAACUCAUGAACCCUGGUUGUAAUACAUCCUAAUUGUCAAAUUCCUAUUUCCCAUUUAUAUUCUUUCCUUCAAAAUUUAAUUUAUUAUCAUGUGGGGGUAUAUCCUUACCAUCUCCGAUUUUGAGCUCAGCGGCAUUUUCUUCCUCUUCUCCAGACAUUCUGAAUCAAACAAAAGCUUCACAAAUCAAAAGCCUCCAAAAACCCUCUCUUUUUCCUUCUUCCUUCCCCGAGUUCGUUGUAGAAAUUAGGUGUAUUUUCCAUAAAUAGUCCCCUUCUGAAAAAUAUUUGGAAGCAGGCUGGGACAAGAUUCUGCACUGCGCAUAGUUUUUAAGCCCGAACCAAAAUCUGCCCAACCCAUAAAUCGCAUUGAUUUCUGCAUAAUUUGGGAUUUGCGUUUUGGGUUGGGUUGUGGAGGGAGGAAGAAUUUCAUUCGGAUAUCAUGUAUGGUAGCUUGGCUACAAUCGAAUUGGAGCAAAAUCAGAACUGAAGGGAGGAAAGAUUUCAUUUUUCUUUUUGGGGCUUUUUUUUUUUUAAUUUCUUUUUAAUGGAUAAUUUUUGUUUGAAACUUGGGAGGUGAGGGUAACAUAUUUACAUUUUUAUGUUUGCAAAAAGCUCCAAAUAUAGAGAUACAUUUCGACGAAACCAGCUUACGAUCCUCCGUUCACUGUCCUCGCUAAGGGCUUCUUCGCUUCCUUUAAAGGGAUUUUUUUUUUAAAUUGUUCCGGAAUUGUGUCACAUUUUUUGUCCUCAUUAAAAAGUUCAACGAUUUUCGUUAUGAUUGAGAGUUUUGGGAUGGAGAUCUUUUCUGAGUUACAGAAUCAGUAGAUUCCUUUUCUGCUUGUGAAACUGGUUUACCUAGCUGUUUGAGAAUUUAACAUUUGUGUAACUGCUUGGGUUGGGCUCUAAUUUAGACUAUUGAUGAUAAAAAGUGUUGUCUUUCUCUGAGCUUGAAAAAUGUAUCCUUUGAUGAGCUUUACUUAAGGCAAGCACUGGACUUCUUUGAUACAAUAACAGAACCUUCAACAUCGGAACUGAGUUAUAGAGAUUUGCCUGGUAUGAUGGAUCGUUUGGUUUCCAGAGAAAGAGAGCCUGAAGUAGAUCUUGAAAGUGGAGGGACAACUAGUGAAGAGGAUGGAACAAAUGAUCUUGUUUCAGCAAAUAAACAAACCAAGAAAGUUUUAAAUAGUGUUUGGAGUGGGCCUUUAGGUUUUGAUGGAUUGGGGAAUUCUUCAAAAUUUGGUGAGGAUGCUGACGAGAAUGUGGAGUUCUUGCUAGACAAGAAUUCAGAAGGAAAAGAGGGUCAACAGCAAAUUCCAUUUGUGAAUAAGAAGCUUCUGGAAGAGAAAAAGAAGAAAAAGAACUCAAGACAGGCUCCCAAGCCACCCAGGCCUCCUAAAGGUCCAUCACUGGAUGCUGCUGACCAGAAGUUGGUGCAGGAAAUCACCGAGCUUGCCAUGAGAAAACGUGCCAGGAUUGAACGAAUCAGAGUGCUAAAAAAGAUGAGAGCAGCAAAAUCAUCAUCUUGGAACAGCAGCCUAUAUGCCAUGGCGUUCACUGUUCUCUUCUUCCUUGUCCUCAUCUUUCAAGGAAUUUGCUCCAGAAACAUUGGAAGCUUGUGUCUGCAAGGGUCACCUGAGCCAGCAGUUACUGCAAGUGAAGAUUUGAUUUCAGUUCAAUUUUACAAGAACGCUGCCUACGAAGGUGAUGGACCUGGCUCUGGCUCUCCAAGGUGUGUAUUCCUUGUUUUUUCAGUAUUCUUAAUAGUAUCAAUACAUUUUGUUGUGGUAGGCACGAAUCUUUCUUACGUACCGAUUAUGAGAAUGCAAGAAGAUAUCAAUAUCUAUCAUUCAUUUGUUAAUCUUGCGUUGCCUGUACACAGUUUGGUAGGAGGACCAGUUUCGGGUUCAGGAUUGAGUAAGAAGUAGAGUUGCCUAAUCUUCUGUUCCAUCUGUAAACUUUUGCUGACAUCUGCAGCAUGGAGGCUGAGUUAGACUGAAAAAACUUAAAUCCUUUUUGUAAACUGAAGCUGAGGCAGCGUGCAAUCUUUCAACCACUCUGAUUUUUGUAUAUAGUGGGCAGAAACCAAGUUUGGACUUUGGAGAGAUGUUUGUAAAGUACAGUUUGGUAGAGUAAUUAACUCGUAUGGUUAUUAGUGAUUUUGCAGCUUGAAACUUUUGUUCCUUAUUUCGUGCCAAAUUUUGUCUUGCUAUGUCGAACUAUUUAAUGAAAUUAAGGAAAAAACCUAGAA